GAGGCGGAAUAAAAGCAAAGCAACGGAUACGUUGCAUAUUGACAGUCAUCCCGAAGGAGAAUAAGCGAGCUGAGAUUUUUCGAUUCGUGUGACCCUUUUGUGCUCUAACGGUGAUCGGUUUCCCUUGCUUGAGGUCGAAUUCGAGCCGCGACUUCUAGAGAUCGAAGAUGGUGUGCAUUCCGUGCAUCCUCGCUCCUCUGAUCCCGCUGGUUCUCAUCUUGUUGCGCUUCCUGCAACCGCUUCUGGAGAAGCUCGGAUUGAAGAAGAAGAUCGAAAUCACUGCGAGCUGUCCAAUUAAGAAACGCGAUAAGCCGACUACCUCCACUGAUGCUACCAGCGAGGGGGAGGAGAUCGCAGCCGGAGCUGAAGCUAAAAAAGACGCUUAGUCUCUCAUCGCCAGCUGACUCCAGGUGAAAGUUGCGAAGAUGGGAACCCAACAGAGUCGUUCUCCAUCUCCUGUUCGAGGAACCUUUUCCUUCUUAGUCAGUCCUAUGUUUCCAUUUAGGCCUAGUGCCCACGCCAGGUGUGAGAAAGUUGAUUUGUUCCUCUUUUGAUCUUGUGUAUACAUACCCUAGGUUCUAUGGACAUGACAAGAAGUGCUCCCAUGUCCAAUAAAAGUUCCGAGCUGCUCGAUGGCCCGUGCUACGGUUAA